AUGAUGCACAUGUCACUCAGGGCCUGUGCUUGCUCAGACGACACCUCCAUUAAGGCUUCAGAAGAGAGAUUUUCCUGCCUAGAGGUCAUGUGGAGUCUGCAGUGAGACUGGUGUGUAGUGUGGGGCAUGGCUAAGCACAGGACCAUUCACAAAAGGCACUGUGUUAAGAAGAAUACAUAUGAAGAGAAAGCAGCUCAUGGCCAAUGACUCUCCUCACGAGUGCAGGCAUUAAAGAGAAACUAGAAUCAGGUCUAUAGCUCUGUUCUUUGCAGAGGCAAACAGCAUAUGAAGGAAGAGUGACCAUAUGUCAUUGGAUCCUUUUUCAUUUUUAAGAGGGGAUGGUACUUGUAAAGAGUACAAUUGAAUGACAUGGUUGGGGCAUGCCUCAGGAAAAUGCAGUCUUCUGUGCAAAGAAAAGGAAAAAAGAAGAGCUUCAUUUAGACAUUUAUGUCCUCUGCUUACAUUUAAAAAGCAAAAACAAAGCCAAACUCUGUCUAGUUGUGAAGAUAUUUUGACUAAAUGAAGUUUGAUUUGUUUCAGCAGUCUAAAGAAGGUUCCAAAACUGAAUAUCACUGUGUACUUCUUUGUGUGUGACACGGCCUUCACCAAUACCUUUCUUAUGUUUGAUUUGCAGCCAGUAUUUUAAAACUUCACCAGCCAGCUUGUUUCCAGAUUUUAUAUUUUUACAAAGAGUUUUUUGUCUUCAAGCAAGCAAAUACACAAAUGUUCCUGUUACUCUUCCUGUCUGAAAUGUGCAGAAGAAGGGUGCAAGUGAUCAGCAAUAAGCUGUAAAGCCUUAACUGCCAGUAGUUACUUUAUGGUCUUGUAACACAUUCAGUUUGAUGCUCGUUCCUCCAUAACUGUCACAGUCCUGCAGCUCUACAGAACUUCUCACUGGUUGGCACUUUUGAAUGGCUGAGUGUAAAAAGGCCUUGUGCAACACAUUGUCCUCUGGAAUCCAUGUAGGAAAGGAACAUUUUGGCAUUGGUUAAGGUCAGGCUACAGAUCUUUAUUAUGUCUGGCUCAGGGGCUGACUUCAUGUGUAUAACCAAGAUUCACCAGCAUAAAAUUUCAACAAUCUUUUUCACAUUCAUUUCAGGACAAGACCAGGCCCCAGUGUAUUGGGUGAAGGAAGAAGCCCUUCCUCUAGACAAGAUGAUGCUCAGCUGGCCCCGGCUGAGCAUUGUAAAAGAGUUCUUUUCCCAUCUCUCUAAGCAAUUGCCUCUAAGUGUGAGAUUAUUUGUUUUUGUAAGGUACAAGCAUUUUACCUUGUUGCCUGCCUUGAGAAGAAGUAAGAAAUGAGUAGGUAAGGGCACAGUUGUGUUUCAGGGAAUCAUAGCUCUGAUCUCAUCACUGGCACAGGCUUGCUGCAGUAAAUCUGCAAAAAUAACUGAAAACCCCUCAGAAUCAGAGCACCUGGGCUUGACUGGGCUUUGGACAUUCACUGUAAGUGAUUUUCUGCCAGUCUAGCUGAUGUGGUCAUCACAAUUUCUUCUGACUGCCUUGACACCUCUUCUGGUUCAUAUGACUUGAAUAUAGAUUGGAAGGACUUUCCAAUAUGCGGUAUUAUGACUAAACAGCUUUACUGGAGCAGCAGUUUUGGAUCAACAUUCCUGGAUAAUCCCAUGAGUAGACAAUUUUGCUGUGCAAUAUUAAUAUCUACAUGUAGAAUUAAACAGAAAUAGUUACUGUGUUUAGUUUCCUACAUGCAUUUGUGCCAAAAUAAUUUUAAAGUGUAGAUGAUCCCUAAGAGAUUACAUAUGCACCCAGAGGAGGAAAUACAUUCCUCUAUUAUAAGGCUGAAUUUGUAAAAUUUAAGGAACACGUCAUAUAAAUGGAAUGGACAGAAAUCUGUUACUAAAUGGGAAUUGAAGAAUACAAUUAAGUGCAUCAUCAAAGGACUAAGGCCUUUAGUCCUUAAUAUUGGUUUCAGUGUUCAUACCUAUGAGCAUCCAUGAGAUCUCCCAGCAACGGGAUUGUAUAUUUGCAUAUAUAGCUUCUUCCUCUGAGUUAUAGCUUGGAAUUAUUUUUUUAUGAUAUAUAUUAAAGUUAUUCUGCUUCUCAGACUUUAGUUAUUGAAUAAAUUACGAGUGAAAGAAGAUGGUGGAAAUUACAGCUAGAGAGGCAAUUUAUUUAUUUUUUAAAUGCUUCCGCACAAUUUAAAAUUGAUUUGUGGUAACUGAGACACUUGAGCAGAUGAAUAUGAAGGUGGCAUAACUUUCUCAUGCUUGCUCGUAUUUUCGGAUAAACUUCCUGGAAAAGUUUUAGUUCAUCACUCUUCCAGGAUCUUGAAGUCUGACCAAGAAACCUGCCAAAGUAAUAAGAAGUUCAUGCUGAAACAAUGUUAUCAGAUAGGAAAAGUUAAUGCUACUGUUAUCUACAGGUCAGCUAAGGUGUAAGUUCUCACAGCAGUUCUCUGACAUAAUAGAUUUGCUUCCUUACUAUGGAAAUAAUGCUUUUGCUACUAUUCUUAACAGAAACAAAAUCAGUUUCUGAUUCAACUACUUCCAUUUAUUAGAGAAAAAACUUUUUAGAGCUAGAGAAUAAGUAACAGCAUAUCAACAGUUUUGGUUAUUUUCCUCUGUGAACUGUCUCAAAAACAAAACAAAACAAACAAAAAGAACAACAAAUUAUUUGCUGAGACUAUUUUAUUUUCUUAGUUUGCUUGCUACGUUGAAUUUUGCAACUAUUUAUAUCUCAUAUAGAGCUUCUCUGAAGUAUUUGAGUUGUGCUGAUAGCAUUUGUUCUUACAGAAUAAAAACAUUUAUUUUUACACACAGAAGUUUCAUUGUCUUCAUUGAGUGAAUAACUGUCAGACUUGUUUUCAAUGUUGACACAAUCAAACAUUUGUGUCCUUGAUUAUUCUUUGCUAUUAAGUAAUGCAUCUAAUAUUACAUCUCUUUCUUGGUGGACACAAAUGGUAGCAAAUUUAUUCACCAGAAAAAGUAUUCACCAUAAAGCCAGACAAACUUACUACAUAAUGAAUUCAGUUUUAUCUGAGUGUCUACAUAGGCAAACUAAUUCACAGUAAGUCUGUACCUCUACUAGCAGUACUAAUUCUGUCUCAACACAGUGCAUGUGUCUCUAUGGAGUUCAGUCAUGUUUAGCUGAAGUCGCGCUAAAUAUUUAAGGAUAUCUAUGAGGGCUGCUCUGAAAGUAAUACUUUCUAUUUUAUUAUGUUGGCCCAUGAUAUCAGAGGCAGAUGUUGGUGGUGUUGCA